GUUGAGAAUUAAUAAAAUAGAAGAUGUCUAUAAUGUCCUGAUGGUCCUUGAAGUAUACAGGGGGAAGUACCGCCUCCUGCCGUUCACUGCGUAGCAGUUAGGGAUAUCAGGAGAGAGGGAGAGGAAGAAAAGUCCGUUUUUUCCAAGUGAAAAGCGUGGUUGUUUUUAUUCAGUCGGAUUGUACGGUGGAAAUAAACUAUCUGGAAAUUGUUGUUAACCAGAAAGGAGUUUGUUACUGCUCGGAUUCUUCUGGUUGUGCUACAACGCUUCACCAUCGCCAUUUUGAAGCUCCAGGAGAGUCCAUUUUAUUGGUUACUUUGGUCAGGUUUUUUACUUGGGAGUACAGUUCAGUGAUGAUCCAGUCCAAAGAUGGCGAGCCACCCUUCCAGGAUCCUUGAGAUGAUUGCUUUAAGAAGAGAACUAAAUUCUUUGGACGAACUGUGAACUGUACAAACUCUACUUAAGUGGUAGGAUAGAUUUGCACCUCAUUCCUCCUUUGCACACCCUGCAAGGAGAAUCCUCAUUGCUGGACUCACACUUAAGGGUGUCGGCUGACACGAGAGAGAGAGACUGAGUCAAAUCCCCCGGGGUUGUGUGUGUUUUGUUUAUUAUUUUCCGUGACUUGGGCCCAAUUUUUCCUUUCAUGUACUGUUAUUGUUUUCAUUGUAUGUAUGUAAGAUUCUUUAAUUGUGAAUACAAAUUGAUCAAACCAAGUUCUCAGAGCGUUUCAUUAGUCAUCCACUGCUCCAGUAGUCGAACCUCAGCUAUUGGCCC
ensembl:lncRNA